GGAUGUUGCAAACGAUAAGCUCUUCCUUCAAGAACAUCUAGAGCAUUAGUGCCUUUGUCCAUCAAAUCUAGCUUGGUCAACACUCCAAAAGUCCGUUCACCUGUUGGAUCCACUUCUCUUGCAAGUUUUAUUGCGUCAGAGGUGGCGAUAUCCUGAUUGGCAGGAGAAACUGCUAGAAUGAUGCAGUUGGGCUUCCCAACAUACGUUCGAACCAUGUUCUCAAUGUCUUCGACUAUAGUCUCAGACUGCCCCUCAACAGCCACUUUUGUUAAACCAGGUAAAUCAAUCAGCGUUAAGUUGACCACAUUUGGAGAGUAUAUGCUCAAGUGGAUCGGAACAGGGGAGAUCUGCUUAGUUUUCCCUGUGAUUCGAUCAGUUUCAUCCGCGAUCUCCUUGCGAACCAUGCCGAAAUCUGUGAACCGUCUUCUUGGCAAAUGACCAAACUCUGCAUAUUCCUGCUGUCCGUCAUCAGUCUUAUGAAGCUGCAACACCAAUGGUCUCCUUGUGACAAUUCCUGAUCCACGAGGAAGAAAAUCUCGGGCUACUAUGCUUUCCAACACAGAUGACUUUCCAGAACUCUGACCGCCGACAACAGCAACUGAAGGAAGAGCAUCCCAUAAAGAAGAAAACGCAUUAUCUCCACCACCAUAAUCACCAAGAGCAGUACAAGCUCUCUGAAUCCGAUUCACCAAACCAAUUAAACUCUCCAUAGUAUCAAUCUCAAACUAAAAACAAUAAAAUCCUAAAACCCCAGAUCUAUAUUUAUUACGAGAGAAAAAAGAUUGGUGAUUAAGCAAUCAAGAUUUGGACUUGAAAGUGGAACUGUGUUUGCUUUUUUACAGAGAGAUAGGAAAAAGGGGAGAAGAGAAAAGGGUCUUUG
rnacentral:misc_RNA from 1 species